CGUGCAGGCGGGUCUGCCAGUCGGGUGUGAAAUAUUCGGGCUUAACCCGGACAGGUCAUCCGAAACUGCGGAUCUUGAGUACUGGAGAGGAUAGUGGAAUUCCUAGUGUAGCGGUAAAAUGCGUAGAUAUUAGGAGGAACACCAGUGGCGAAGGCGGCUAUCUGGACAGUAACUGACGCUGAGGCGCGAAAGCGUGGGGAGCAAACA
rnacentral:rRNA from 1 species